rnacentral:rRNA from 1 species
AGCGUAGACGGCGCAGCAAGUCUGAUGUGAAAGGCAGGGGCUUAACCCCUGGACUGCAUUGGAAACUGCUGUGCUUGAGUGCCGGAGGGGUAAGCGGAAUUCCUAGUGUAGCGGUGAAAUGCGUAGAUAUUAGGAGGAACACCAGUGGCGAAGGCGGCUUACUGGACGGUAACUGACGUUGAGGCUCGAAGCGUGGGGAGCAAACA